CAAGCAAGGGGGCCAAUACCAGAGGCCAAACAGAUGGGACUAUUCCAUCAUGGACCUUCAGAAUCACAAACUGAGCUAAGUAAAUCUUUUCUUUAUAAACCACCUAGUGUCAGGUCAAUUCUAUAUUGUUUGAAAAGGAAAGAAUAAUAAUACAGUAAUCCAAAGUGUAUAAAAAUGAGAAUGAAUGAACAAUGAAAUAAAAAAAUAGCUUGCCAUGUUCAAAGACUUCAUUUUAAGGGGACUCUUUUGUUAUUGUCUGUAGGCUUUCAAAUUAGCCUUGUUUGUACUUGCAUAACCACAUUAAGACCUUAUAAUUUAUAGUUAAUUUAUAUUUUUAAAAAUUUGAAAUUCUUCUCUAUUAUGAAAUAAUUUCUAAAGUAUUGUUAGUUAGUGCUACUUAUUUUUGAAGGAAAUGUUUAAAAUCCAUUAUAUUCUAACUGAUUACAUAGUUUCCCUUUGUCUGUGGUUCUAUGUUACCAACCAAUUUUCAGUUGACCAUAAUCAACAGCAGUCUAAAAAUCUUAAAAAGGGAAAUUCCCAGAAAUAAAUAGUUCAUAAGUUUCUAAAUGCACAUUUUUCUAAGUAGUAUGAUGAAAUCUUGCCAUUCUACUUUGUCCUGACUAAGAGGUGUUUCAUUCAUUUAUCUACAUCUUGCAGAUUCUUCUGACCCACUAUUCACUUACUAGCUUUCUCUGAUAUCAAAUUAUGUAUAUCACAGUGCUUGUGUUCAAGUAAGUCUUAUUAAUAGCAUAAUGAUAUACCACAGCACAAAUAUCAUUCACUUCACUAUCUCAUCACACAGGCCUUAAUAUACAGGACGGUGGACAUACAUUUUUCUUUGGAAUGAUGUAUCAUUUCACAUCUUCACUAGAUAAAGGCAUAAACAGAAGAGAUAAUGUGAAGGAAAACAGAUAACGACAGUCCAGAAGAAGACACUAAACAGAGAGCAACCCUUCAGCAACCUUGAUCUUAGACUUCCAAACUCAACUACCUACCAUGAGAAAAUAAGUUACUGUAUUUUAUGCCACUCAGAUCAUGAUAUUUUGUUUUGGCAGCCUAAACAAAUAAAUAUAAUUUUAAAGAUA